AUGCCGAAUAUAUAUAUUCUAGCUACCUUCUUAUCGUUUACUACUUGGCGUAAUAAUCGUCCAAAUCCAUAAUGCAAUCGUGUAAUGACAAUGUAUUUUGCUUUUAGGUAACAUUGCUUGUUUAAGGCUAUACCUGUUUUUAAACCUUUCAUUCAUUCAUUGUACCUCAUACGUUCCAGUGUACUUAAUUAUAAUUAUAAAUAACUGCAAUGCAAUUAAAUUUUCCUAAACGUGCAUUUAGUACUAACAAGCGAAGAGUUGUGGUCGGACUAUUCUGAGGUGCUCCUUUCUUAACACAAUCUCACAAAAUAUUGGCUGGUCUCUUCGAAUACGACCGUUUAGUUGCUGGUUCGUAUUUUUAACUUUAUUUGCACCGCGCUUCCAGAAAUCACUUUUGCCGUUUUUUCUAUUAUCAUCUAGCAGGCAUAUUUCUAGACGCUUUCUUAUAAACUUCUCGAAAACUGACGAAAAAAUAAGUUUUCUUUAUAUAAACAUAGCUUCUUAUAUUGACGUUACUCUUGACUCUUGUUAUAAUCUUCGUUGGCUUGGGGGCUAAACUGUCGGCUGGCGCUGGCUGUGCUCAUCUGAGCCAGCUUUUACGAUUUGUUCUGGGUGCUCAGUAAUCGUAUGUCGGCGUGCAACGCAAGCAGCGUUUGUUCAGGCAAGAAAUGCAACCACCCUUGCUGAUUUUGGACCAAGGACUGGUCCGAAACAUUCCGAUGUACCUGAGUGCGCUUACAAAUCGACUCGGGCCUUUAUGAAUUGACCAAACUCAUCACGGCUACCCGUCCCAGGCUGCGUAGUCGCGCUGACUAUUCCCGACAGCCGAAAUUUGUUUUCUCGGUUGCCUGCUGUGGUAAAUCUCCCAGCAAAUAAUACUUGCUUGUGUUAUCUAUUCGACGACAACGUUCUUGGACGCGUGUUUUGCCACGACCACCCCACGCUAAAGUUAAUCGAUUUAACUGAGGUCUAUUUUUAUGAAAGGUAUGGACCUGGGAAGUAUUACAUACAGACUGGUAAUUCUAAUCUCUGCAAGCCACAAGAAGGUGCCAUGGUAAUCGUUGAUCCCAUAAUCGUGAAAACAAUAAAAUCAAAUUCGGGCGAGUGAUUAUAAAUGCCAUCGUCACUAACCAGAACCAACGAUGGGUCAGGUGACAGCUAUCACCCUUGUCGCUCGAACCUUCUCGGGUACGCCUAGCUCAAACGAAGUCCGACACCAAUUUCGGCACAGCUGUACUAACAUCUCAAAUCAGUGUUAAUCUAUAGGAGGCCAUAUAAAAUGGUAAGGACAACUUUCCGCUCGGUAGUGACGCCCUACAAAAUCGCCAUUGUAUGCUGUUAACGGUGCAGUAGUACAAUGCUGUUUUUCCAAAUUUAUUGCCGCUCAUCGACCACAAGGACAUCGGUUCCAGUAGACGCGGCGACUCGUUAGGCUCUUCGGCGUAUGGCGUACAUAGGAAAGAUUGCGGUCGAUAAACGAUGGUUCUUAGGAGAAAAAAAAAGCGUUGCUUACGUAAACUUUAAAAAGAUUACGGCUGCAAUCGUGAGCAGAAGUAGUGAAAUUAGCGAUAAAGAUGCCACGAUCCCGGAAACGGCGACGGGAAGAAGUGAAGGCGCUUCAAAGGGGCACUCUCCUUCGUCGGCAAUAAAAUCUUCACGUACACUGUUGGAUUGUCGUGUCAAGGAAAAGUUAUUUCAUUCAAUGCUUUAGAUGCAACUCCGACGUGGACCUUUAGAUUCUGACCAUGCGGCUGAGAACUCGUUAGGAACGUUGAUCGUCGUCCGAUCAAAUCCUUAAUGAGGAACUUGUCUUCUUGCUAAUGUUAGGGGCGCCUGGUGGUCUAUGAUCGAAUCUGAACGUAGACACAAUUUGGGGGCCACAAUUGUCUGAUGCGUCUGAUGGCAACGCCGGAGGUACAACUUGCAACAUUUAAGUGCUUCGGUCGUUGGAAAAAACUGUUUCUUAUCAAAGAUAAGCAACGCGAUCGUAUUUACUUAAUGUAUAAUAAAAUUAAUAAAUUUCACCUAACGUAUAAUAGGGUUCGAGUAGAUUAAUAAAACGACUUAGAAGUGCGGGUCAUAGUCCGAAACCCUCGAAAGUUUGCUACACAGGUUUUCAAAGAGAAACUCUGCUUCGGGAGAUUUUAGCUAUUUUCAUUCGUAAAUACUGAGUAUUUCAA
rnacentral:lncRNA from 1 species